GUGCUUGAAAUAACAUCUGUCCAUGCAGAAAAAUAUCAAUACACUGAGUCAAGAAAUCCCACGGUCUGACUGUUCCUUUUUGCCCUGAGUUUUGAGAAUGACAUUUGCUGCUGCUGGAAAGAGGAAUGGUAGAAGAAAGCAGGAUGAAAUGCAUAGCAAUUAGUAACUUCCCCAUGAAAACAUGUACAGGAACCUUUUCAGUUUUAGUGCUGGAGCUUGCAAGCAAGUCUGGGAGGCGUGGAAGGGCUUUACAUAAGACAGUGCUGCAACGUGCUACACUUCCCAAAGUUCACUCUGGAAGAGGUUGAAAAUAAAUGAAGAAGACCUUCUUGAGGC